rnacentral:rRNA from 1 species
GGGGAAUAUUGGGCAAUGGGCGCAAGCCUGACCCAGCAACGCCGCGUGAAGGAAGAAGGCUUUCGGGUUGUAAACUUCUUUUGGCAGGGACGAAGAAAGUGACGGUACCUGCAGAAUAAGCUCCGGCUAACUACGUGCCAGCAGCCGCGGUAAUACGUAGGGAGCGAGCGUUAUCCGGAUUUACUGGGUGUAAAGGGCGCGUAGGCGGGAAUGCAAGUCAGAUGUGAAAUCUCCGGGCUCAACCCGGAAACUGCAUUUGAAACUGUAUUUCUUGAGUGAUGGAGAGGCAAGCGGAAUUCCUAGUGUAGCGGUGAAAUGCGUAGAUAUUAGGAGGAACACCAGUGGCGAAGGCGGCUUGCUGGACAUUAACUGACGCUGAGGCGCGAAAGCGUGGGGAGCAAAC